CUUGAACAGACAGGAGUCUCCUGAGCUUUGGUGACCUGUGCUGGAUAAAGAUGAAAAUCCUCCAGCAUCUGUACUACCAUGGACUCAUGGGACACUAUGAAUUCAGGCUUUGGUGGCAUCUCUCAUGACAGGAUCCUAACAUAACUGUCAUCUGAGAGGCUUCAUCUGGCAACCGAUGGAAAUGGAUGCAGAGAGCCACAGCCAAACAAUAGGCUGAGCUCUGGGAGUCUUGUAGAAGAAUUGGAGGAAGGAUUGAGGCAGCCAGAGGGGUCAAGGACACCACAAGAAGA